CUACGGGUGGCUCCAGCAAGGAAUAUUGUACAAUGGGGGAAACCCUGAUACAGCAACGCCGCGUGAAGGAAGAAGGCCUUCGGGUUGUAAACUUCUGUUUUAGAGGAAGGAUAAAUGACGGUACUCUUAGAGGAAGCCCCGGCAAACUACGUGCCAGCAGCCGCGGUAACACGUAGGGGGCGAGCGUUGUCCGGAAUCACUGGGCGUAAAGGGCGCGUAGGCGGUUUAUUAAGUUGAAUGUGAAAUCCCAGGGCUUAACUCUGGACCUGCAUUCAAAACUGGUAGACUUGAGUAUGGCAGAGGUAAGUGGAAUUCCUAGUGUAGCGGUGGAAUGCGUAGAUAUUAGGAGGAACACCAGUGGCGAAGGCGACUUACUGGGCCAAAACUGACGCUGAGGCGCGAAAGCGUGGGGAGCAAACAGGAUUAGAUACCCGAGUAGUC
rnacentral:rRNA from 1 species